AACGAACGCUGGCGGCAGGCCUAACACAUGCAAGUCGAGCGAGGACUUCGGUUCUAGCGGCGGACGGGUGCGUAACGCGUGGGAAUGUGCCCUUCUCUACGGAAUAGCCCUGGGAAACUGGGAGUAAUACCGUAUACGCCCUAUUGGGGAAAGAUUUAUCGGAGAAGGAUCAGCCCGCGUUGGAUUAGGUAGUUGGUGGGGUAAUGGCCUACCAAGCCGACGAUCCAUAGCUGGUUUGAGAGGAUGAUCAGCCACACUGGGACUGAGACACGGCCCAGACUCCUACGGGAAGCAGCAGUGGGGAAUCUUAGACAAUGGGGGCAACCCUGAUCUAGCCAUGCCGCGUGAGUGAUGAAGGCCUUAGGGUUGUAAAGCUCUUUCAGCUGGGAAGAUAAUGACGGUACCAGCAGAAGAAGCCCCGGCUAACUCCGUG
rnacentral:rRNA from 1 species